CGGAACACGUACAGAACCUUCCUUUAAGCGGGGAUAGCCCAUAGAAAUGUGGAUUAAUACCCCAUAGUAAUAUUGACUGGCAUCAGUUGGUAUUUAAAGAUUUAUCACUUAAAGAUGGCUGUGCGGCUGAUUAGGUAGUUGGUGCGGGUAAUGGCCCACCAAGCCUUCGAUCAGUAACUGGUGUGAGAGCACGACCAGUCACACGGGCACUGAGACACGGGCCCG
rnacentral:rRNA from 1 species